GCGGACGGGUGAGUAACACAUGGGUACCUACCUUGAGGUGAGGAAUACCACCGAGAAAUCGGUGACAAGACCGCAUACGCUCUCUUUCACUAGAGAGAGAACAAAGUUUUGCGCAAGCAAGACGCCACGAGAUGGGCCUGUGCCUGAUUAGCUAGUUGGUGGGGUAAAAGCCUACCAAGGCCACGAUCAGUAGCUGGUCUGAGAGGAUGAUCAGCCACACUGGGAUUGAGAACGGCCCAGACUCCUACGGGGGGCAGCAGUGAGGAAUUUUCGUCAAUGGGGGCAACCCUGAACGAGCAACGCCGCGUGCAGGAUGACACUUUUCGGAGCGUAAACUGCUUUUCUCGGGGAAGAGAACGGACGGUACCCGAGGAACAAGCCCCGGCUAACUACGUGCCAGCAGCCGCGGUAAUACGUAGGGGGCAAGCGUUGUCCGGAGUUACUGGGCGUAAAGGGCCCGCAGGCGGUCGGGCAAGUUCAGACUGACAAUCCCCAGCUUCACUGGGGAGGGUGUAUGAAAACUGCGUGACUUGAGGGACAGAGAGGGACAUGGAAUUCCGGGUGAGUGGUGAAAUGCGUAGAUAUCCGGAGGAACACCAAAGGCGAAGGCAAUGUCCUGGCUGUUACCUGACGCUCAGGGGCGAAAGCUAGGGGAGCGAACGGGAUUAGAUACCCCGGUAGCCCUAGCUGUAAACGAUGACCACUAGACGUUCGGGGUAUCGACCCCCUGAGUGUCGUAGCUAACGCGAGAAGUGGUCCGCCUGGGGAGUACGGUCGCAAGAUUAAAACUCAAGGAAUUGACGGGGACCCGCAC
rnacentral:rRNA from 1 species